UACGGGGGGGGCAAGCGUUGUUCGGAAUUACUGGGCGUAAAGGGCGCGUAGGCGGCCACCGCAAGUCAGUUGUGAAAGCUCUGGGCUUAACCCAGAAAGGUCAACUGAUACUGCGGGGCUAGAGUGCAGAAGGGGCAACUGGAAUUCUGCGGUGUAGCGGUGAAAUGCGUAGAUAUCGAGAGGAACACCUGCGGCGAAGGCAGCCUCCUGGGCCAGCACUGACGCUCAUGCACGAAAGCGUGGGGAGCAAACAGG
rnacentral:rRNA from 1 species